rnacentral:rRNA from 1 species
AGUGAACGCUGGCGGCGUGCUUAACACAUGCAAGUCGAACGAGAACGGAUUAUAGCUUGCUAUAAUUGUCAGCUAAGUGGCGCACGGGUGAGUAAUGUAUAGGUAAUAUGCCUCUUACUAAGGGAUAACAAAUGGAAACGUUUGCUAAUACCUUAUACUCCUUAUUAACAGAAGUUAAUAAGGGAAAGAUUUAUUGGUAAGAGAUUAGCCUGUAUUGUAUCAGUUAGUUGGUGGGGUAAUGGCUUACCAAGACUAUGACACAUAACUGGUUUGAGAGGAUGAUCAGUCACGCGGGAACUGAGACGCGGUCCAGACGCCUGAGGGAGGCAGCAGUGGGGAAUAUUGCACAAUGGACGGAAGUCUGAUGCGGCAACGCCGCGUGGAGGAUGACACUUUUCGGUGCGUAAACUCCUUUUAUAUGAGAAGAUAAUGACGGUAUUAUAUGAAUAAGCACCGGCUAACUCCGUGCCAGCCGCCGCCGUAA